rnacentral:rRNA from 1 species
GCAGUCGACGGCAAGCCCUUCGGGGCCUAGAGUGGCGCACGGGUGAGUAACACGUACAUAAUCUGCCGAGUGCUGGGGGAAAGUCUAGGGAAACUUGGAAUAAUCCCGCAUAAGUUCUCGAAGCGGCAUCGCUUUGAGAAGAAAGCCGUAAGGUGGCACUUGAUGAAUGUGCGUCUGAUUAGCUAGUUGGUUAGGUAACGGCUGACCAAGGCGACGAUCAGUAGGGGGCGUGAGAGCGUGUACCCCCACACGGGUACUGAGACACGGACCCGACUCCUACGGGAGGCAGCAGUAAGGAAUAUUGGUCAAUGGGCGAAAGCCUGAACCAGCCAUGCCGCGUGAAGGAUGAAGGCGUUACGCGUCGUAAACUUCUUUUGUAUGGGAAGAAUGGCCGGGAUUUAUCCUGGAAGAGACGGUACCAUACGAAUAAGCACCGGGCUAACUCCGUGCCAGCAGCCGCGGUAAUACGGAGGGUGCGAGCGUUAUCCGGAAUCACUGGGUUUAAAGGGUACGUAGGCGGUUAAUUAAGUCAGCAGUGAAAGACUGUCGCUCAACGACGGAUGUGCUGUUGAUACUGGUUAACUUGAAAUGGGUUAGAGUUGGCGGAAUGGGUCAUGUAGCGGUGAAAUGCUUAGAUAUGACUUGGAACACCGAUAGCGAAGGCAGCUGACUGAACCUUGUUUGACGCUGAGGUACGAAAGUGUGGGUAGCGAACAGGAUUAGAUACCCUGGUAGUCCACACCCUAAACUAUGCAGACUGGAUGUUGGGCGGCAAUAGUUCAGCAUCUGAGGGAAACCAUUAAGUCUGCCACCUGGGGAGUACGCCGGCAACGGUGAAACUCAAAGGAAUUGACGGGGGUCCGCACAAGCCGGUGGAGCAUGUGGUUUAAUUCGAUGAUACGCGAGGAACCUUACCAGGGCUUAAAUGCAGAACGCAUAAUUUGGAAACAGAUUAGUCUUCGGACGGUCUGCAAGGUGCUGCAUGGCUGUCGUCAGCUCGUGCCGUGAGGUGUUGGGUUAAGUCCCGCAACGAGCGCAACCCCUAUCUUUAGUUACCAGCGAGUCAUGUCGGGAACUCUAAAGAAACUGCCUACGCAAGUAGAGAGGAAGGCGGGGACGACGUCAAGUCAUCACGGCCCUUACGUCCUGGGCCACACACGUGCUACAAUGGUCGGUACAGAGGGCAGCUACCUGGUGACAGGAUGCGAAUCUCGAAAGCCGAUCUCAGUUCGGAUUGGAGUCUGCAACUCGACUCUAUGAAGCUGGAAUCGCUAGUAAUCGCGCAUCAGCCAUGGCGCGGUGAAUACGUUCCCGGGCCUUGUACACACCGCCCGUCAAACAAUGGAAGCUGGGGGUACCGAAGUCGGUAACCGAAAGGA